CCUACGGGGGGCUGCAGUCGAGAAUCUUCGGCAAUGGGCGCAAGCCUGACCGAGCGACGCCGCGUGCGGGAUGAAGGCCUUCGGGUUGUAAACCGCUGUCGAGGGGAAUGAAGUGCAGGUGGGUUCUCCCAUCUGUUUGACAGAUCCCUGGAGGAAGCAUGGGCUAAGUUCGUGCCAGCAGCCGCGGUAAGACGAACCAUGGGAACGUUAUUCGGAUUCACUGGCCUUAAAGCGCUUGUUGGCCAUCUGUUAAAGCCCUCAGCCCAACUGAGGAAUUGCGCUUGAUACUGCAUGACUAGAGAAUGAUAGAGGUGGGUGGAACUGAUGGUGGAGCGGUGAAAUGCGUUGAUAUCAGCAGGAACACCAGUGGCGAAGGCGACCCACUGGGUCAUUUCUGACGCUGAGGUACGAAAGCUAGGGUAGCGAACGGGAUUAGAUACCCCAGUAGUC
rnacentral:rRNA from 1 species